UACGUAGGGUGCAAGCGUUAAUCGGACUUACUGGGCGUAAAGCGUGCGCAGGCGGCUUUGCAAGACAGAUGUGAAAUCCCCGGGCUUAACCUGGGAACUGCAUUUGUGACUGCACGGCUAGAGUGUGUCAGAGGGGGGUAGAAUUCCACGUGUAGCAGUGAAAUGCGUAGAUAUGUGGAGGAAUACCGAUGGCGAAGGCAGCCCCCUGGGAUAACACUGACGCUCAUGCACGAAAGCGUGGGGAGCAAACAGG
rnacentral:rRNA from 1 species